UACGUAGGGUGCAAGCGUUGUCCGGAAUUAUUGGGCGUAAAGAGCUCGUAGGCGGUCUGUCGCGUCGAAUGUGAAAACCCGGGGCUCAACCCCGGGCCUGCAUUCGAUACGGGCAGACUAGAGUUCGGUAGGGGAGUCUGGAAUUCCUGGUGUAGCGGUGAAAUGCGCAGAUAUCAGGAGGAACACCGGUGGCGAAGGCGGGACUCUGGGCCGAUACUGACGCUGAGGAGCGAAAGCAUGGGGGAGCGAACAGG
rnacentral:rRNA from 1 species